CUCGUCAGAUCCUUCCCUAGCCAAGCCUUAACCGCCUCCAUGAGCUCGCGCGCGAAGUUUGGAUCCGGCGCCCUCGGCGCUCCCUGGAUAAAUAGAUGUCAGCCCUGUUUCUUCCCCUUUUGCGCACCCAUCUGCCAACGUCCAGGAACCUCGAUCAAAGGAAACCCUGAGAGCUAGUCAAUCGGAGGGAGAAGAGAGGGACUCCGCGACGCCACCAGGGGUGAACUCAUGGCUGCGUGCCCGCUCGGGGAAACUGAGGGGGUCAGGAAGUGUCAUCGGGGUCCGCUGGUCACGUCUGCGGUCAAACGGCGGUUGGAGAAGCGCGAUGUCACUAGGAAUUCCUCGAUGGAGACCCUCUCCGUUGCAACGUCGCGGGCAGCCUUGCGCAACCUACCGCGCUUGGUAAUGGCCGCCGCCACGGACCGGGGCGCCACCGCGAGCACCGUGGUGUCCGGUGAUAGCGAUGGGGGUCAGGCGUCGUCUGAUCGUUGAUCAACGGGUGGGAUUAAAAAGUGAAGAGCAGGUGGUCCAAAGGAGCGCUGCAAUGAGGAAUAUGAUUAUCUAGGUGGCGUCUUCCAGUCAGCUUGAUGGCACCAAGGAAGAAUAUUUAGUUCGUUUUAUUGUUAUCAUUUAUUUUUGUAAGACUUCCGCUAUGUAAUAAUAAUACUUGUGACAUUUAUCUCUAUACACUUUGUCAUUAUAUGUGAUGUUCUUCUUUGGCGCGCA